CCCACUGUGAGGUCACUAACCCUGGAACCGGGGCCCCGCCUCCGUGACUCAUAAACUUCGUUAUGCCCACAGCAUCUCCCUCGCCGGUAGUUACAGUCACGGUCACCUUGCUGUGACCAAACACCUGAGAGAAACAAGAGAAGAAAGGGUAUAACGUUUUGUAGGUUUCAGAACAGUUCUUUAAGGCUCAGGGUCAUCAUGGCUGCUGGGACUGAUGCCGCUGUUUUUAAGCAAAAGAAGUGUGUGUCGGGGAAUUCUCACCUCUUCUUGGCAGUCCCGAAAGAGGAAUGUACAGACCAGAGAUUCUUUCCCAGUUUCUCCUCUUCCCUCAUCUGGAUUCUGCUCCACACACCCUACUGACGGAGAAGCUGUUCGCGGCGAAAGCGAAGAGACAGAAAGACAAAAGACGAAAAUAUUCAGCCAAGCAGCAAAUAUUUACCGACUUGGUAGAUCUUUUUCCCGGCUCCCAACACAAAUGAAAACAGACCAGAGCAUCCACUACUGUCUUCUCGGAUUAUUGAACUAAAACUAUUUGCCACCACAAUGCUUUUAUUCGUAGAAUGAUUAGAUGGUGUUUUAUUUUUUUCUUCCAGCAAAGUCGUUACGGAAGCAGGAGCCUGUGGCCAUCCAAAGAAAUACCUCAGACUAGCC
rnacentral:lncRNA from 1 species